GCUCUAACGCAAACACUCCGGCACCCCGGCACCCCGGUGGCCUCUGCUGCUUCGUCUUUCUAGUCAUGGUGCCCUUUUGAGCAAGGGUCACUCUUACUCCUAAGAGGAAAGUCGAUCUGACUCACUUUCAGAAACUGAAAGCGUACUGUGUCCACAAGAGCUGGGACGCUUACUGUAAAACCACAAAAACCACAUCAGAAUUCUACAGCUGCUCAGGAAGGAAAGGAGUCAGUGGGCCGAAAAAACUCAUCCAGAUUUCUCCACACUUCGCUCUCCUCCGGAGGACUCACCGGCUUCUUCGCUAAGAGAUUGGGAACCAAGAACAGAUUUUGGCAGCCAGCGUAGGCUCGGCCUUCGGCUUCUGUUACAAUGACCCUCCCAAGGGCUCCUCUGCAAAGCAGCAUGGCUUUGGUAGUUACAACAGAGGGAUGACAGAUGAUAGAGGAGAACCCAACCCUUCCUAUGCACCUCUAGAGACUGCAGAGGGAAUCAGAAGCGGUCUAGAUCUCUAGAAGAACUCCAGCAAACUCACUGAGGAGGCUGAGACCAAAGGAUUGUGAGCAAGCUUAUGCUACAUCUCAAGAUUCUAUCUAGGAAGAAAAGAACAAAAGAGCACGAUGUCAAAGAAAUGUGAAGGCCAGUGCGAUGGCUCUUGGCUUCGUGGCACCAAUGAUGCGGAGGAGAGAUGAACCUCAGUAGAAACAGUCCCUGAAGAGCUUUGUUCGUCUGACUCUCCCGUGCUGCCUGAAGCAGUGAACCAGGGAAAGAAGGAAAGAAUGCUCCCAUUGACUACUAGAGCCUGAGUGCUGGGCCCCUGUGCAGUGCCACACUUCCAGGGGCUGGGGACCAAACCAGGAAGAUAUCAGAUCCCUUGGCACUGGAGUUCCAAGCAUUCGUGAACCUUUGUCACAGAGCUGGGGACCAAACCAGGACACUUGCAAGAGCCACCAGCACUCUGAAGCAUGGAGCCAUCUCUCCAAACUUCAUCCACCACUUUUUAAACCAUGAAAAUGCCUAUGUUUACAAAGCUGGAGUAAGUGUGAAGUGUGACACAAAGCUUAGGGCCUCCAACUUGCUGUUCAAACUGUACAGGAAGUUCACUGAGACGUACAGACCUGGGGCUGGGAAGAGCUUGUUUGAGCCGCUAUGUUAAUCUAACUUUCUGAUUUUUGCUUUUGGUUGGAAUGUUCUUCAAAAUAGGCUGACUUAUUAAAAAACAAUUUUGUAAACUUUA